rnacentral:rRNA from 1 species
UUUUUAUGGAGAGUUUGAUCCUGGCUCAGAGUGAACGCUGGCGGCGUGCCUAAUACAUGCAAGUCGAACGAUGAAGCUUCUAGCUUGCUAGAAGUGGAUUAGUGGCGCACGGGUGAGUAAGGUAUAGUUAAUCUGCCCUACACAAGAGGACAACAGUUGGAAACGACUGCUAAUACUCUAUACUCCUGCUUAACACAAGUUGAGUAGGGAAAGUUUGUCGGU